GCCCAGGUGUUGAAAUUGGUAGACAAGCCACUUUGAGGUGGUGGUGCCUUAACCGGUGUGCAAGUUCGAAUCUUGUCCUGGGCACAA
rnacentral:tRNA from 1 species